GGACAAACACUCUCAACACGCCCCCGCACGUGUGGCGAACUUUCAAGCCUAACACGUGAACAACACAUAUUGGGUGACGUGGGAGCACGUGUGGCCGUUGGGCCCAACACGUGAAGCCUUGCUCUGAUACCAUGAAGGAAGUUGAGGUUCCACCUCAAAACCAAUUGGCAAUGGGGGAAGUUACCCAACUCCUUAUAAGCCCUUGUUAGGUUUCUCAACUUUCCAAUGUGGGACUCUUUACCUUCACAUUCUCACAUCCAUAAAUAAACCUGUCACAAGUUUCAAUUGGGCUUGGACUGGGGCUUGAAUUGGUCUUCUGCUUAAGUUGGACUGAAUUAGAAGUCCAGAAACUGAACAAGUGAUUUACCACAUGCUCUCUCUGGGUGUGAUGUGUACAGUUUGUCAAAGCUCUGGUAGAUGGUCAGAGCCUCGGGUCAUGUGUGGGAGAUCCUCAGGACAAGUCAACCGUCAAACUCAUCCCACUAGUUUAAUAAAUAGAGUCAUAUGUCCCACUAAACAUCUUCUUCUCUGCAACCAUUUAGGACCACCUUGUUGAAUUUUAUAAGGGUUUGACCCAAACCAGCAGGAGAGACUCUGUUUUCAUUUUGAAUUAAACUCACCAAUGAGCUCAAGCAACAAUUUUGAUAAUAAAACUUGUUUAGAGAGAGAGAGACUCUUAAUUGGGUAUAUGAGUUUUUGGAGAGUAAAAUUGUCCAGAAGCAUUUUGUCGGGUGGGCUUGGAACUUUGUUGGGUCCAAAUAGAAAAACUCUGUAAAGUCAAUAAUAAAAUGUGGUGAUUGUAUUACUGCUGACCAAAUUUUCUUUAUAAAAUAUCAUACUUUCUUGUAUUCUCUUCUUUCUUUUCAGUUCCCCUUUUAUUUUUUGGUUAGAAAUUAUAUGCAGCUAAGUGAACUUUCUAUUCGUAUAUCUUUUGGAUGUCUGGCAGGCAUACAAUAACACCAGAGAGGAAACCACGCCAGAAAUAAUUUUUUUUUUUUUUUUUUUAAAAAGGCAAAAAGAUAAGACAAAAGAAAAUAUUCUACUUAGUGGUGUUGAAGAAAUUUUGAUUUGGAGAAUAUUUUUGGGGCAGUAUUAAUUUUAUUUGCUUCACUUUAUUAUAAAUACAAGUUUAGUAUAUGUGGGUUAGGUUAGUUGGUUAAGGUAGUGUGCCCGCUCUCUUGUACUCAAGUUUGAACUCCCUCCUUGUACAUUAAAAUAGUUCAAACUAAUAUCGUCAUUGUCAAUAAUAAAAAAUCCUGUUAUACUCACCAACUUAUUCGGCCCAAUCAAUCACGAAGACAAUAAUGUCUUUUGGAUUAUACAUGCAAUAAAACAUAGGACAAAAUAAAAUAAAUUUUGGAUGGUAAAAUUAUACAUGGUUCACGAAGAAAAACUUAUAUGAAAGUGUUUUCUUCAUAUGAUAAAUACAUUCCAAUUAAAAGAUUAUAUGAAUUAAAGAUUUAUCAACAAAUUUGAAUACAUGUCAUUUUUCAACUAAAUUAUUCAUUCACUCAAUAAUGGACAGUUGUAAAUCAUGGCUGACCACAAGUAUACCCUAAUCAUGUAUAUAUGUAGUCUUCUAU
rnacentral:lncRNA from 1 species